UUUAAGUGCAACCAUGAGUUUCCGCGUCCAACUUUGAUCGUCCGUCUUAUUUUUUUUAUAAUUAGUAUUUUUGUUGUUAUGAGAUGAUAAAACAUGAAUAGUACUUUACUCAUAACUUAUGUUUUUAAUUUUUUUAAAAAAAAAUCAAAUGAGAUGACGAUCAAAGUUGGACGUGAAAAACCAUAGCUGCACUUAAA
rfam:Oryza sativa (indica cultivar-group) chromosome 1, whole genome shotgun sequence.